AGAGUUUGGUCCUGGCUCAGAAUGAACGCUAGCGGCGUGCUUAACACAUGCAAGUCGUCCGAGAACUCUUUAGCUUGCUAAAGAUAGUAAAGUGGCGCACGGGUGAGUAACGCGUGGGUAAUCUACCUCUGAAUUUGGGAUAACUCCGCGAAAGCGGGGCUAAUACCGGAUAAUAUUUCAGGAUUUUCGGGUCUUGAAAUCAAAAGUGGCCUCUACAUGUAAGCUACUGUUUGGAGAUGAGCCCGCGUACCAUUAGCUUGUUGGUAGGGUAAUGGCCUACCAAGGCUACGAUGGUUAGCUGGUCUGAGAGGAUGAUCAGCCACACUGGAACUGAUACACGGUCCAGACUCCUACGGGAGGCAGC
rnacentral:rRNA from 1 species